rnacentral:rRNA from 1 species
UACGGAGGGUGCAAGCGUUAUCCGGAUUCACUGGGUUUAAAGGGUGCGUAGGUGGUGGGGUAAGUCCGAUGUGAAAGCUCCGAGCUCAACUCGGAAAUUGCAUUAGAAACUACCUUGCUAGAGGGUUGGAGGGGGGACUGGAAUUCUCGGUGUAGCAGUGAAAUGCGUAGAUAUCGAGAGGAACACCAGUGGCGAAGGCGAGUCCCUGGACAACUCCUGACACUGAGGCACGAAAGCUAGGGGAGCAAACAGG